rnacentral:rRNA from 1 species
AGUCUGCAACUCGACUGCAUGAAGCUGGAAUCGCUAGUAAUCGCGGAUCAGAAUGCCGCGGUGAAUACGUUCCCGGGUCUUGUACACACCGCCCGUCACACCAUGGGAGUUGGAAAUGCCCGAAGUCAGUGGCCCAACCGGAAGGGGGGAGCUGCCGAAGGCAGGUUCGAUGACUGGGGUGAAGUCGUAACAAGGUACC